GGUCAAGCGAACAAGUGCAUGUGGUGGAUGCCUUGGCGAUCACAGGCGAUGAAGGACGCGGUAGCCUGCGAAAAGCUACGGGGAGCUGGCAAACGAGCUUUGAUCCGUAGAUGUCCGAAUGGGGAAACCCGGCCCUUUUGGGUCAUCCUAGACUGAAUACAUAGGUCUAGUGAGGCGAACGCGGUGAACUGAAACAUCUAAGUAACCGCAGGAAAAGAAAUCAACCGAGAUUCCCAAAGUAGUGGCGAGCGAAAUGGGAAGAGCCUGUACUCUUUAUUUGUAUUGUUAGCCGAACGCUCUGGAAAGUGCGGCCAUAGCAGGUGAUAGCCCUGUAGGCGAAAACAGUAUGAAAGAACUAGGUGUACGACAAGUAGGGCGGGACACGUGAAAUCCUGUCUGAAGAUGGGGGGACCAUCCUCCAAGGCUAAAUACUCGUGAUCGACCGAUAGUGAACCAGUACCGUGAGGGAAAGGCGAAAAGAACCCCGGGAGGGGAGUGAAAUAGAUCCUGAAACCGCAUGCAUACAAACAGUCGGAGCCUCUUCGGGGGUGACGGCGUACCUUUUGUAUAAUGGGUCAGCGACUUACGUUCAGUAGCAAGCUUAACCGAAUAGGGCAGGCGUAGCGAAAGCGAGUCCGAAUAGGGCGUUCAGUUGCUGGGCGUAGACCCGAAACCAGGUGAUCUAUCCAUGGCCAGGAUGAAGGUGCGGUAACACGUACUGGAGGUCCGAACCCACUAACGUUGAAAAGUUAGGGGAUGAGCUGUGGAUAGGGGUGAAAGGCUAAACAAACCUGGAAAUAGCUGGUUCUCUCCGAAAACUAUUUAGGUAGUGCCUCGUGUCUCACCUUCGGGGGUAGAGCACUGUCAUGGUUGGGGGGUCUAUUGCAGAUUACCCCGCCAUAGCAAACUCCGAAUACCGAAGAGUGCAAUCACGGGAGACAGACAUCGGGUGCUAACGUCCGGUGUCAAGAGGGAAACAACCCAGACCGCCAGCUAAGGUCCCCAAAUAUGGCUAAGUGGGAAACGAAGUGGGAAGGCUAAAACAGUCAGGAGGUUGGCUUAGAAGCAGCCACCCUUUAAAGAAAGCGUAAUAGCUCACUGAUCGAGUCGUCCUGCGCGGAAGAUGUAACGGGGCUAAGCCAUAUACCGAAGCUGCGGAUGCGAGCUAGUCUCGCAUGGUAGGAGAGCGUUCCGUAAGCCUGCGAAGGUGCGUUGAAAAGCGUGCUGGAGGUAUCGGAAGUGCGAAUGCUGACAUGAGUAGCGAUAAAGGGGGUGAAAGGCCCCCUCGCCGUAAGCCCAAGGUUUCCUACGCAACGUUCAUCGGCGUAGGGUGAGUCGGCCCCUAAGGCGAGGCAGAAAUGCGUAGCUGAUGGGAAGCAGGUCAAUAUUCCUGCACCGUCGUUAGAUGCGAUGGGGGGACGGAUCGCGGAAGGUUGUCCGGGUGUUGGAAGUCCCGGUCGCUGCAUUGGAGAAGGCGCUUAGGCAAAUCCGGGCGCAGGAUUCAAGGGUGUGGCGCGAGCUCCUUCGGGAGCGAAGCAAUUGGAAGUGGUUCCAAGAAAAGCCUCUAAGCUUCAGUCUAACGAUGACCGUACCGCAAACCGACACAGGUGGGCGAGAUGAGUAUUCUAAGGCGCUUGAGAGAACUCGGGAGAAGGAACUCGGCAAAUUGGUACCGUAACUUCGGGAUAAGGUACGCCCUGGUAGCUUGACUGGCCUGCGCCAGAAGGGUGAAGGGGUUGCAAUAAACUGGUGGCUGCGACUGUUUAAUAAAAACACAGCACUCUGCAAACACGAAAGUGGACGUAUAGGGUGUGACGCCUGCCCGGUGCCGGAAGAUUAAAUGAUGGGGUGCAAGCUCUUGAUUGAAGUCCCGGUAAACGGCGGCCGUAACUAUAACGGUCCUAAGGUAGCGAAAUUCCUUGUCGGGUAAGUUCCGACCUGCACGAAUGGCGUAACGAUGGCCACACUGUCUCCUCCCGAGACUCAGCGAAGUUGAAGUGUUUGUGAUGAUGCAAUCUACCCGCGGCUAGACGGAAAGACCCCAUGAACCUUUACUGUAGCUUUGCAUUGGACUUUGAACCGAUCUGUGUAGGAUAGGUGGGAGGCUAUGAAACCGGAACGCUAGUUUCGGUGGAGCCGUCCUUGAAAUACCACCCUGGUUUGUUU
rnacentral:rRNA from 1 species